UACAGCCAUAUCAAGUUGAAACGCCGCUUCUUGUAUGAUCACCGAAAUUAAGCAACGUUGAGCCUGGUCAGUACCUAGAUGGGUGACUGCUUAGGAAUAUCAUGUACUGCAAG